rnacentral:rRNA from 1 species
UACGGGGGGGGCUAGCGUUGUUCGGAAUUACUGGGCGUAAAGGGCGCGUAGGCGGUCUGUCGCGUCUGCUGUGAAAACUCGGGGCUUAACCCCGGGCCUGCAGUGGGUACGGGCAGACUAGAGUGCGGUAGGGGAGACUGGAAUUCCUGGUGUAGCGGUGAAAUGCGUAGAUAUCUGGAGGAAUACCGGUGGCGAAGGCGGCAUCCUGGACCGAGAUUGACACUGAGGCGCGAAAGCCAGGGGAGCAAACGGG